CCUACGGGAGGCAGCAGUGGGGAAUUUUGGACAAUGGACGCAAGUCUGAUCCAGCCAUGCCGCGUGCGGGAAGAAGGCCUUCGGGUUGUAAACCGCUUUUGUCAGGGAAGAAAAGUUUGGGGCUAAUAACUCCGGACGAUGACGGUACCUGAAGAAUAAGCACCGGCUAACUACGUGCCAGCAGCCGCGGUAAUACGUAGGGUGCAAGCGUUAAUCGGAAUUACUGGGCGUAAAGCGUGCGCAGGCGGUUCUAAUAAGACAGAUGUGAAAUCCCCGGGCUCAACCUGGGAACUGCAUUUGUGACUGUAGAGCUGGAGUACGGCAGAGGGGGAUGGAAUUCCGCGUGUAGCAGUGAAAUGCGUAGAUAUGCGGAGGAACACCGAUGGCGAAGGCAAUCCCCUGGGCCUGUACUGACGCUCAUGCACGAAAGCGUGGGGAGCAAACAGGAUUAGAUACCCUGGUAGUCCACGCCCUAAACGAUGUCAACUGGUUGUUGGGAAGGUUCCUUCUCAGUAACGUAGCUAACGCGUGAAGUUGAACCGCCUGGGGAGUACGGCCGCAAGGUUGAAAACUCAAAUGAAUUGACGGCGUGAGAGNGCGAGAGACACGAGGAGAGG
rnacentral:rRNA from 1 species